GAAGAAAUGAGAAUGUUGUGUAGUCAAUAAAAUUCAAUGUUAAACAUUGUAAGCCAUUGUAUUGAUGCUGCACAUGUUUUUUUGUUUUAAUGUAGGUAAAGCGUGACAGAUCCUUGUGGCAAAAAUCAGGAAAGCAUUCCUUCAGACAACUGGACAUCGACUGUUGGAAAGAGACUUUUCAUCUGAUCUGCAAACUGUGAUGGAAGAUUCUACGGAGUUCAUUCGAUACAGAAGAUUAACAGACUUACAAAGAAAUAAAAGAUUGACACUAACAUUCUUAUUAAUUCCUAAAUAUUAAUGGAAAAGAAAACAGACAAUGAAAAGUUAUAUAACAGUUU